rnacentral:misc_RNA from 1 species
AAGUCGUAACAAGGUUGCUGUAGGGGAACCUGCGGCAGGAUCAUCAUGAAUGUGGGUGCCUGGGGCGGCUGUGCGCGUUGAGUUUGCUUCCGGGCUUCUUUCCGUGUGUAGCCCGCUCCCCAGCGCACCCAGUAAACCUCUGUGCAGUGUGAUGGCUUGGCGGUUGGUUGUUGUGUGAUGGUGAGGAGGUUGCAUGCUGCUUUAGGCGUAUGCUGCUUUGGUGGCUGUAUGCUGCUCUGGCAGUUGCAGCCGCCUUGGUGGUGCUUGCACUACCUCCUUUGAACCCAGCACACCAGCACCAACCGCCAGGGAGAACCAAACCAAAAAAACAGUCGUGUGUUCCAGCACAAACAACAAAAACUACAUUUGACAACCUUUAACAAUGGAUCUCUUGGCUCUU